GGAAAGCUGUGCAUAUUUUUAUUGUAAUAAACUCUUUAUUUUAAGAAACCCCAGAACUCCAUCUGUGCUGUGUGUGAUCCUUGUCAUAGUUUCUCACCCCUCCCUCUCCCUCCCUGAUGUCUGCACUCUGCUCUCCUGCUAAUUACCUGACCAGUUCCACCUGUGCCUCUCCUUUCUGAAGCUGCUCUCUGUCUGCCACUGGUGCCAGAGUGGAAAGAGCAUUUUGCCUUCUCACCAGCCCAUCAUAAAGAGCCUGUCCAAGUUUUUUCCUCUUUUCCCAAGUAUUUGUUUGUCCAUUCCUGCCUUCUGCCUUUCUCAUGGUUUUGGAUGUACAGUCCUGUCUGGACUCAAGUUGAAUCAUCUCAUCUCAAAUUGAGCAUGGACCUCACCUGCAAUCCUCCUGUUCUGAGCCUGAUCUCCUCCCAAUAUGAACUUGAAGCUCACCAGUAUUCCUCCUGCAGUUCUCAGUUUAAGCGUCAACUACAACUUCUGUCAGGAGGAUCCAGGGGUCUCCUCAGCUCUUCACCAUUUUCCUCUGAGCAGAAUAAACUUCUUAAUUUUUCCA